rnacentral:rRNA from 1 species
GUCGAGAAUAAUUCACAAUGGACGAAAGUCUGAUGGUGCAACGCCGCGUGGAGGAUGAAGGUCUUCGGAUUGUAAACUCCUGUCAUCGGGGAGUAAGACCUGGCGGUAAAUAGCCGACAGGGUUGAUAGUACCCGAAGAGGAAGGGACGGCUAACUUCGUGCCAGCAGCCGCGGUAAUACGAAGGUCCCAAGCGUUGUUCGGAAUCACUGGGCGUAAAGGGAGCGUAGGCGGCGUGGUAAGUCAGAUGUGAAAUCCCGGGGCUCAACCCCGGAACUGCAUCCGAUACUGGCAUGCUUGAGGGUUGGAGAGGUAGCUGGAAUUCUCGGUGUAGCAGUGAAAUGCGUGGAUAUCGAGAGGAACACUCGUGGCGAAGGCGAGCUACUGGACAACAUCUGACGCUGAGGCUCGAAGGCCAGGGGAGCAAAAGGGAUUAGAUACCCGUGUAGUCC